rnacentral:pre_miRNA from 1 species
UUGGUUUGUUUUAAGUCAAACUUGUCCAACUUUGACCAAGUUUAUAGAAAAAUAUAACAAUAUCUAUACUACCAAAUAUAUGCACUAUCAAAAUAUUAUUCCAUGGUGGAUUCAAUGAAACAAAUUUUGGUAUUGUAGAUGUUGUUAUAUUUUUCUAUAAAUUUGGUCAAAGUUGAACAAAUUUGACUUAGGACAAACCAAA